CCGUGGUAUCGCACAUGACUAAGUCCUACUCUUUACAUUUUCAAAACAGGCUCGUAACUUUUGCUUGAAUGCACUUGAGGGGAGUUAUUUUAUGUCACUGCUUGUCUACAAACCGAUUUGAGCCUAAACAGUAACAUAUGAUAGGAAAUCCUGUUCCUGUAUUAAUCGCCAGAGGACGUCGCAUAAAAAGAGAUGACGUCUGCCAAAUUAAGGGGCUAAAAGUGGGUUGGUGUUUUUAUUUAUUUAUUUAUUUUUUUGCCACAACACUGGAACGACUAGCCCUACUGAAGAGGCGCGAGCAUAAAAGGAGUGACUUUUUUAAGUGUCAGGGAGAGAAAAGAAAGAGCGCUAACUUCACUCAGAGAUGGAGAAAGAUAAGAAAAACAGGACAGGAGUGGAAGAGAUAUAUUUAAAGGACUCGGUUCACAGGAAGUGCAGGAUGGACAUCUGAGCCUUUUGGUCCAUUGGAUCCUGGAUCUCCUCCAGUGUGUGAAAACAUUGAUGUUCCAACCUCAUCUUCAUCGUCGUGAUCGGACCACACAGUGGAGAG